UAGUCCACGCCCUAAACGAUGUUUACUCGAUGUUUGGACUUCGGUUUGAGCAUCCAAGGGAAACCAUUAAGUAAACCACCUGGGGAGUACGUUCGCAAGAAUGAAACUCAAAGGAAUUGACGGGGGCUCACACAAGCGGUGGAGGAUGUGGCUUAAUUCGAGGCUACGCGAAGAACCUUAUCCAGGCCUUGACAUGCACGGAUUAACCCUGUGAAAGCAGGGCCACGCCUUCGGGUGGAACGUGCACAGGUGCUGCAUGGCUGUCGUCAGCUCGUGUCGUGAGAUGUCGGGUUAAGUCCCUUAACGAGCGAAACCCUUAUCUUUAGUUGCCAGCGAGUAAUGUCGGGGACUCUAGAGAGACUGCCGGUGUUAAACCGGAGGAAGGUGGGGAUGACGUCAAGUCCUCAUGGCCUUUAUGGUCUGGGCUGCACACGUCCUACAAUGGCGCGUACAAAGGGAAGCUACCUCGCGAGAGCAAGCAAAUCCCAUAAAGCGCGCCUCAGUUCGGAUUGCAGG
rnacentral:rRNA from 1 species